UACGUAGGGUGCAAGCGUUAAUCGGAAUUACUGGGCGUAAAGCGUGCGCAGGCGGUGAUGUAAGACAGAUGUGAAAUCCCCGGGCUCAACCUGGGAACUGCAUUGUGACUGCAUCGCUGGAGUGCGGCAGAGGGGGGGAUGGAAUUCCGCGUGUAGCAGUGAAAUGCGUAGAUAUGCGGAGGAACACCGAUGGCGAAGGCAAUCC
rnacentral:rRNA from 1 species